CCAGACUCCUACGGGAGGCAGCAGUGAGGAAUAUUGGUCAAUGGGCGGGAGCCUGAACCAGCCAUGCCGCGUGAAGGCGAGUGCCCUACGGGCGUUAAACUUCUUUUGUGCGGGAGCAAUAAGGGCCACGUGUGGCCCGAUGAGAGUACCGCACGAAUAAGCAUCGGCUAACUCCGUGCCAGCAGCCGCGGUAAUACGUAGGGAGCAAGCGUUAUCCGGAUUUAUUGGGUGUAAGGGGUGCGUAGACGGGAAAUUAAGUUAGUUGUGAAAUCCCUCGGCUCAACUGAGGAACUGCAACUAAAACUGAUUUUCUUGAGUGCAGGAGAGGUAAGUGGAAUUCCUAGUGUAGCGGUGAAAUGCGUAGAUAUUAGGAGGAACACCAGUGGCGAAGGCGACUUACUGGACUGUAACUGACGUUGAGGCACGAAAGUGUGGGGAGCAAACAGGAUUAGAUCCCCCGGUA
rnacentral:rRNA from 1 species